rnacentral:lncRNA from 1 species
CUCAAACAAUUUGUAUACAAUCUUCCAAAAGAUUACUCUUUGAUCACGCAUAACAAAUAACCAUACAAAAAUUUUUAUAUUAAAAUAAGCAAAUUUAAUACUAAAAAAUCUUGCCGCAUGCUGUUGUCUAAUGUUGCCCAUUUAUGAAAGCAAUAAAUUUCUUGUGAAAAUAUUAUAGAUUAUUUCCAGCAAUCACAGAAUCUAAAAGCUUGAGCUUGUGCUUAAUUAAACGUCUGACAAGGUUAUUUAAAUUUCUACUCACCUAUAUUUUAACUAUUUUUAUUAUUCUCAGGUUAUAUGGUUUUCAAUUUCAAACUCAAUAUUAGUCAAAGGAACAACGCUAAUUAAAAAGAUUAAAUUAAAUCAAGCAAUGCAUUAGCAAUCUGUAAAUUGAUUACUUAAGGUUAAGGAUCAACUUCUCAAAAUUAAUGCCCAGAAAAUAACUUAUUUUUAAAAGUUCAAAACAAACCCACUUAUUAUUAUUAUUAUUAUUAUUAUUAUUGGGAAGCAAUACAGAUUAGCUCCAGCAAAAUCGAUCCUGAAGAAGAGAUAACACAUUUGCUGCACGUCCUAUCUUUACAUGUGUGUACCCGCAAUAAUUAAUGAUUUGACUAAUAAGUUUGAUAUUAUAUAUAUAUAUAUAUAUAUAUAUAUAUAUAUAUGCACAAAGCGAGCCAGCGACGAGCAGCGGCAGCAGUGAGCCAGCGACGAGCAGCGGCAGCAGCAGCGAGCCAGCUACGAGCAGCGGCAGCAGCAGCGAGCCAGCGACGAGCAGCGGCAGCAACAGCGACGUGUUCAGGGGCUGAAGGUCACGAGUUCGGCUGAAUUAGAGAUUUAGAGUCACUUUACUCACUUUAGGUUUUGGACUUUUGGGAAUCCGGAUUUUAUUUGUGUUCGGUUCGUCGGUUCGGUUUUUCGGUUUUUUUUUUUAAACCGAAAACCGAACCGAUUGAUUUUACUAUUUUUUCGGUAUUCCUAUUUCGGUUUUUUGGAUAUAAAAAAACCGCAAAAAAACCGAACCGAACCGAACGGUUCGGUUCGGUUUUUGAUUAAUCAACUUUUUUUGCCCACCCCUAGUUUCGGGGGAAGUAGCAUUUUCCUUUUCUUGGUCUUGAGGGGUGUAGAAAUUUUGGAUGGGCCUCUUGGGUUUGGUGGCUACUAAUUAAACUGGACAUCGGCUGAAAAGUCCCUGUGAUUUAAAAUAGAGCAGGCCUGCCAUAC